rnacentral:rRNA from 1 species
GACAGAGGUGCCAAGCGUUAGGCGGAAUCACUGGGCUUAAAGCGUGUGUAGGCGGAUCGUUAAGUACCUUGUGAAAUCCCACGGCUUAACCGUGGAACGGCUGGGUAUACUGGCGAUCUUGAGCCACCUAGGGGCGAGCGGAACAAAUGGUGGAGCGGUGAAAUGCGUAGAUAUCAUUUGGAACGCCAACGGUGAAAACAGCUCGCUGGGGGUGUGCUGACGCUGAGACACGAAAGCCAGGGAGCGAACGGG